AAAUCUCCUUUGCUCUGGGGCUCCUUCAUCUGAAAAACACAGAAGGAAACAUCAGGUCAUGAGAGCUUCCUAUUGAGGUUAAUGCCAGGAAGUCACAGAGCGGACAACAACCUGACUGCACUCCAGAGUUUGCCAAUCUGCAGGGCCACAGCCAGUAACAUUUCUGUAUUCCACGGCAGGGAUGGAAGAAGGUGCUUUUGUGACUUCCUACCAGAGUUUAUUUAGUAAUUGCCUACAAAGUAUGAGCAUGCCUGCACUGAACAUCUGGAAUGAGAAGGCAUCAUUGGAAAGACCUUCACAAACUUGUUCCUAAGCUUUUCCACUGUGGUCUCCUAUUACAAAGGAAUAUUGUAGCUAUCAGGUGGCAUAGGAGGGGAGCAACUCUACACCUUUGUUGCUUAGAAACCCCAGGAUAAUUACACAUUUUACAGUGAGGGAAGAAGUAUUUGUAAUUAAUGUCAGCAGAUAUGGGCGUGAAGUGACUGACAACAGUGUGCAAUUGUGGCCCAAAGCAGGGACACUUGCAGCUGAGACCACGGGUGUUGUUUCCAUGUCACUGAUAACAGGAGUGAACCGUGAAGAGAAUAUUCACAUCACUGAAGUGAGAAGUAUUCAAUUUCCUCAAGAUAAACUCUCUGUAGUCUGAAAGUGUGAAGAAAAUGUGUCAGGCCAUUUUCUGGGCAUCCUUUUGUGAAAAUGAAACGGGUUUUCAAGAUAUGAGAAAAUGAACACCCAGAUAAAGCUGUUUUGCCAGAUGACUUCAGCCUUUUCAUAUUAAACACUCUUCCACAAUAAGACUUGAAUUUUUCUGAGUAACAGUUGUGGGCCUCAGCAGUAAUGUCCCUUAGCACUUAGCUGGCAUUACUAAUGAAUUUUCAUGUAUGACAUAGUUCUGGAUGGGAAAGCUCCAAUAUGAACCAUUGAAAAGUGGAACCAUUUUAGCUGGGAUUAUGUAGAGGCUUUUCCGAUGCUUCCAUUUUAUAGACACUAAUGACAUGUUCUACUACUCCUGUUAUAAAUCGUCCAUGUGACACAAGCACUCACUUCUAAAUAUUUGAGUAACGCACAAGACGUGUCACUAUUUUAGAUCUCAGUGCUCUCAACUGGAGAAACUGGUAAUUCUAAAAGUCUGUUCAUCCCUACACAGGACUUGCAAUCUUCUGAAAAUCUCAGUGAUGGAAGUC